UGUUUUUUUUUUUUUUUUCAAACCGUGUGAAAAUGUUUCUUGCCCGCACCUACUCGUCCACGCGGUUAGGGUUCGGUAGUGAGAAGUGCCUACCUAGCCUAUUCAGCUGACGGUUGACAGGGCCCGCACCGUACACACGCCUCUACUGUUUUCUGACUCCUACCGAGGACUUUCCAGCUAGCUAGCCACGACUAUCUCCCUCUGACAACACUUCUAGCGCCAUGACAUCCGAACGGCAAAUAUGACAUUUUCGAGUAUUUUAUUUUAAAUGUGUCGUUGUUCAAGAGGCUAACGUUAGUUCUGUUUUGUCGUUUUAGCAGUUUCCCCGAUGGAGUCAGACGAGGACCCACAGAACGCUCGAGGAACUGAAUGAAGCCUUGGAAGGACACUCUGACAAUGCAGAAUGGUUCUGCCAACGAGCCUACGCCCAACUUCAACUGAAAAACUACAGCUGUAAGUCUCUUAUCCUAACCCCCAACAUCUUACCCAAACUUAAAGUACUGCUAUCAGUCAGACCCUAACCCCAAUCCUCCUUGCAUCUUCUUAAAGUAU
rnacentral:lncRNA from 1 species